rnacentral:rRNA from 1 species
CCCGAUGCAAACUGCGAAUACCGGAGAAUGUUAUCACGGGAGACACACGGCGGGUGCUAACGUCCGUCGUGAAGAGGGAAACAACCCAGACCGCCAGCUAAGGUCCCAAAGUCAUGGUUAAGUGGGAAACGAUGUGGGAAGGCCCAGACAGCCAGGAUGUUGGCUUAGAAGCAGCCAUCAUUUAAAGAAAGCGUAAUAGCUCACUGGUCGAGUCGGCCUGCGCGGAAGAUGUAACGGGGCUAAACCAUGCACCGAAGCUGCGGCAGCGACGCUGAUGCGUUGUUGGGUAGGGGAGCGUUCUGUAAGCCUGCGAAGGUGGCCUGUGAGGGUUGCUGGAGGUAUCAGAAGUGCGAAUGCUGACAUAAGUAACGAUAAAGCGGGUGAAAAGCCCGCUCGCCGGAAGACCAAGGGUUCCUGUCCAACGUUAAUCGGGGCAGGGUGAGUCGACCCCUAAGGCGAGGCCGAAAGGCGUAGUCGAUGGGAAACGGGUUAAUAUUCCCGUACUUGGUGUUACUGCGAAGGGGGGACGGAGAAGGCUAUGUUGGCCGGGCGACGGUUGUCCCGGUUUAAGCGUGUAGGUGUGUGUUCCAGGUAAAUCCGGUUCACUUUAACACUGAGGCGUGACGACGAGGCACUACGGUGCUGAAGCAACAAAUGCCCUGCUUCCAGGAAAAGCCUCUAAGCAUCAGGUAACAUCAAAUCGUACCCCAAACCGACACAGGUGGUCAGGUAGAGAAUACCAAGGCGCUUGAGAGAACUCGGGUGAAGGAACUAGGCAAAAUGGUGCCGUAACUUCGGGAGAAGGCACGCUGACACGUAGGUGAAGUGAUUUACUCAUGGAGCUGAAGUCAGUCGAAGAUACCAGCUGGCUGCAACUGUUUAUUAAAAACACAGCACUGUGCAAACACGAAAGUGGACGUAUACGGUGUGACGCCUGCCCGGUGCCGGAAGGUUAAUUGAUGGGGUCAGCGCAAGCGAAGCUCCUGAUCGAAGCCCCGGUAAACGGCGGCCGUAACUAUAACGGUCCUAAGGUAGCGAAAUUCCUUGUCGGGUAAGUUCCGACCUGCACGAAUGGCGUAAUGAUGGCCAGGCUGUCUCCACCCGAGACUCAGUGAAAUUGAACUCGCUGUGAAGAUGCAGUGUACCCGCGGCAAGACGGAAAGACCCCGUGAACCUUUACUAUAGCUUGACACUGAACAUUGAGCCUUGAUGUGUAG